rnacentral:tRNA from 1 species
CUCUCUUUAGCUCAGUUGGUAGAGUACGAAACUUUUAAUUUUGGGGUCAUGGGUUCAAGUCCCAUAGGAGAGA